rnacentral:rRNA from 1 species
GGUUAAGCGACUAAGCGUACACGGUGGAUGCCCUGGCAGUCAGAGGCGAUGAAGGACGUGCUAAUCUGCGAAAAGCGUCGGUAAGGUGAUAUGAACCGUUACAGCCGGCGAUGUCCGAAUGGGGAAACCCAGUGCAAUUCGUUGCACUAUCGUUAACUGAAUACAUAGGUUAACGAGGCGAACCGGGGGAACUGAAACAUCUAAGUACCCCGAGGAAAAGAAAUCAACCGAGAUUCCCCCAGUAGCGGCGAGCGAACGGGGAGCAGCCCAGAGUCUGAAUCAGCUUGUGUGUUAGUGGAACGGUCUGGAAAGUCCGACGGUACAGGGUGAUAGUCCCGUACACCAAAAUGCACAGGCUGUGAACUCGAAGAGUAGGGCGGGACACGUGGUAUCCUGUCUGAAUAUGGGGGGACCAUCCUCCAAGGCUAAAUACUCCUGACUGACCGAUAGUGAACCAGUACCGUGAGGGAAAGGCGAAAAGAACCCCGGCGAGGGGAGUGAAAAAGAACCUGAAACCGUGUACGUACAAGCAGUGGGAGCACCUUCGGGUGUGACUGCGUACCUUUUGUAUAAUGGGUCAGCGACUUAUAUUCUGUAGCAAGGUUAACCGUAUAGGGGAGCCGCAGGGAAACCGAGUCUUAACUGGGCGUUAAGUUGCAGGGUAUAGACCCGAAACCCGGUGAUCUAGCCAUGGGCAGGUUGAAGGUUGGGUAACACUAACUGGAGGACCGAACCGACUAAUGUUGAAAAAUUAGCGGAUGACUUGUGGCUGGGGGUGAAAGGCCAAUCAAACCGGGAGAUAGCUGGUUCUCCCCGAAAGCUAUUUAGGUAGCGCCUCGUGAAUUCAUCUUCGGGGGUAGAGCACUGUUUCGGCUAGGGGGUCAUCCCGACUUACCAACCCGAUGCAAACUACGAAUACCGAAGAAUGUUAUCACGGGAGACACACGGCGGGUGCUAACGUCCGUCGUGAAGAGGGAAACAACCCAGACCGCCAGCUAAGGUCCCAAAGUCAUGGUUAAGUGGGAAACGAUGUGGGAAGGCACAGACAGCCAGGAUGUUGGCUUAGAAGCAGCCAUCAUUUAAAGAAAGCGUAAUAGCUCACUGGUCGAGUCGGCCUGCGCGGAAGAUGUAACGGGGCUAAACCAUGCACCGAAGCUGCGGCAGCGACACUAUGUGUUGUUGGGUAGGGGAGCGUUCUGUAAGCCUGCGAAGGUGUGCUGUGAGGCAUGCUGGAGGUAUCAGAAGUGCGAAUGCUGACAUAAGUAACGAUAAAGCGGGUGAAAAGCCCGCUCGCCGGAAGACCAAGGGUUCCUGUCCAACGUUAAUCGGGGCAGGGUGAGUCGACCCCUAAGGCGAGGCCGAAAGGCGUAGUCGAUGGGAAACAGGUUAAUAUUCCUGUACUUGGUGUUACUGCGAAGGGGGGACGGAGAAGGCUAUGUUAGCCGGGCGACGGUUGUCCCGGUUUAAGCAUGUAGGCUGGUUGUCCAGGCAAAUCCGGAUAAUCAAGGCUGAGGUGUGAUGACGAGGCACUACGGUGCUGAAGUAACAAAUGCCCUGCUUCCAGGAAAAGCCUCUAAGCAUCAGGUAACAUCAAAUCGUACCCCAAACCGACACAGGUGGUCAGGUAGAGAAUACCAAGGCGCUUGAGAGAACUCGGGUGAAGGAACUAGGCAAAAUGGUGCCGUAACUUCGGGAGAAGGCACGCUGGUGUGUAGGUGAAGUCCCUGCGGAUGGAGCUGAGACCAGUCGAAGAUACCAGCUGGCUGCAACUGUUUAUUAAAAACACAGCACUGUGCAAACACGAAAGUGGACGUAUACGGUGUGACGCCUGCCCGGUGCCGGAAGGUUAAUUGAUGGGGUUAUCCGUAAGGAGAAGCUCUUGAUCGAAGCCCCGGUAAACGGCGGCCGUAACUAUAACGGUCCUAAGGUAGCGAAAUUCCUUGUCGGGUAAGUUCCGACCUGCACGAAUGGCGUAAUGAUGGCCAGGCUGUCUCCACCCGAGACUCAGUGAAAUUGAACUCGCUGUGAAGAUGCAGUGUACCCGCGGCAAGACGGAAAGACCCCGUGAACCUUUACUAUAGCUUGACACUGAACAUUGAGCCUUGAUGUGUAGGAUAGGUGGGAGGCUUUGAAGCGUGGACGCCAGUCUGCGUGGAGCCAACCUUGAAAUACCACCCUUUAAUGUUUGAUGUUCUAACGUUGGCCCCUUACCGGGGUUGCGGACAGUGUCUGGUGGGUAGUUUGACUGGGGCGGUCUCCUCCCAAAGCGUAACGGAGGAGCACGAAGGUUAGCUAAUCCUGGUCGGACAUCAGGAGGUUAGUGCAAUGGCAUAAGCUAGCUUGACUGCGAGCGUGACGGCGCGAGCAGGUGCGAAAGCAGGUCAUAGUGAUCCGGUGGUUCUGAAUGGAAGGGCCAUCGCUCAACGGAUAAAAGGUACUCCGGGGAUAACAGGCUGAUACCGCCCAAGAGUUCAUAUCGACGGCGGUGUUUGGCACCUCGAUGUCGGCUCAUCACAUCCUGGGGCUGAAGUAGGUCCCAAGGGUAUGGCUGUUCGCCAUUUAAAGUGGUACGCGAGCUGGGUUUAGAACGUCGUGAGACAGUUCGGUCCCUAUCUGCCGUGGGCGCUGGAGAAUUGAGGGGGGCUGCUCCUAGUACGAGAGGACCGGAGUGGACGCAUCACUGGUGUUCGGGUUGUCAUGCCAAUGGCACUGCCCGGUAGCUAAAUGCGGAAGAGAUAAGUGCUGAAAGCAUCUAAGCACGAAACUUGCCCCGAGAUGAGUUCUCCCUGAGACUUUAAGUCUCCUGAAGGAACGUUAAAGACGAUGACGUUGAUAGGCCGGGUGUGUAAGCGCAGCGAUGCGUUGAGCUAACCGGUACUAAUGAACCGUGAGGCUUAACCUU